UACAAAUCUGUAAUUCUGCAUGACACACGUGCCAAGUGGGAAUUAACCCACUUGGUGAAAGUCUUCUUCUGAACUGCCUCACGUUCAUCAGCUAGGGCCUUGAUGCGAGAUCGUUCAAACAGUCGAGCAGAACUAUUUUCAUUGUCCCAGUCAUCGACAUCCCAGCGGUUGUUGACAUCACUGUACUGCUGCUGGAUUUCAAUGUUGUCAUAAUCUGUCGCCACUGUUGUCGUCAUCCUGAGUCUUCUUAAUCUAUUCUCAGCAUCAGAUUCUUCUUAAAAUCCUCCCGGGCUUCGCGCUCCUCCUCCUCCCUUGCCGGUCUAUCCUAUGGCGGAGACAAUGUUGGCUCACUCCCAGAGUCCGCUUCCUCCAGCGCAGCGCUCCCGCUGCUCUGUCAUUCCCCGUGGGAAGCCCAUCCCGGCUCUCACUUCCUCCGCUGCAGAGCCAUCCCCUGCAUCGGCCCUGCCGCCUUGCCACGCUAACAGCAACGCCCGGUCCCUGGAUUUCCAGCCCUGCUCCGCGCUUCCUCUCCGCCCUUCUCCACGCGGCCUCAGCCCACACCCCUCCCCCG
rnacentral:lncRNA from 1 species